AGUGAACGCUGGCGGUAGGCCUAACACAUGCAAGUCGAACGGCAGCACAGUAAGAGCUUGCUCUUACGGGUGGCGAGUGGCGGACGGGUGAGGAAUACAUCGGAAUCUACUUUUUCGUGGGGGAUAACGUAGGGAAACUUACGCUAAUACCUCAUACUACCUACGGUUGAAAGCAGGGGAUCUUCGGACCUUGCGCGAUUGAAUGAGCCGAUGUUGGAUUAGCUAGUUGGCGGGGUAAAGGCCCACCAAGGCGACGAUCCGUAGCUGGUCUGAGAGGAUGAUCAGCCACACUGGGACUGAGACACGGUCCAGACUCCUACGGGAGGCAGCAGUGGGGAAUAUUGGACAAUGGGCGCAAGCCUGAUCCAGCCAUACCGCGUGGGUGAAGAAGGCCUUCGGGUUGUAAAGCCCUUUUGUUGGGAAAGAAAAGCAGCAGGUUAAUACCCCGCUGUUCUGACGGUACCCAAAGAAUAAGCACCGGCUAACUUCGUG
rnacentral:rRNA from 1 species